CAUUCCGAGUUGAUUCGGGCUCCGGCCCGAUCCUCCCACCCUUUGUGUACCUACCUCUGUUGCUUUGGCGGGCCGCGGUCCCCCGCGGCCGCCCCCCCUCCCCGGGGGGUGGCUAGUGCCCGCCAGAGGACCAUCAAACUCCAGUCAGUGAACGUCGCAGUCUGAAAAAACAUUCAAUAAACUAAAACUUUCAACAACGGAUCUCUUGGUUCUGGCAUCGAUGAAGAACGCAGCGAAAUGCGAUAAGUAAUGUGAAUUGCAGAAUUCAGUGAAUCAUCGAAUCUUUGAACGCACAUUGCGCCCCUUGGUAUUCCGAGGGGCAUGCCUGUUCGAGCGUCAUUACAACCCUCAAGCUCUGCUUGGUAUUGGGCACCGCCCUUCUUCGGGCGCGCCUCAAAGACCUCGGCGGUGGCUGUCUUGCCUCAAGCGUAGUAGAAUACACCUCGCUUCGGAGCGCAGGGCGUCGCCCGCCGGACGAACCUUCUGAACUUUUCUCAAGGUUGACCUCGGAU
rnacentral:rRNA from 1 species